GACGACGACGACGACGUUGUUGCGGUAGCCACGGUGUGACACCACCGAAAUGCCGGCCUAUUUCAACGCCCGGAGAAUGCUCUCAAACGAGGGGGGAACGUUAGCUAACAGCUAACGUGUGUCUCUGUAAUCCAAGAUGGUGGUGUUGUUGGCACAGCAGGGCCUAGCUAACGAUCCCGGCCAGAGUUCCCCCUUUUCUCUCUCGUGUCCCUCCACCAACCGCCGGAGCGCGGUGCGUCUGAGGAGAUAAGGGGGGGGGGGGGGGCCUCCAGUGGAAGGUGACUCAGCAGUGGUCCACAGCAGGCAGCCUCCUGAGAUAAGAGUGGCUGGGGGGAGAGGGAUCCUGGGAUCGUGUGUGGGGCCGAAGGGCCGUGCUUACACCCCGUUUAGAUGUUGGUCGAAAUGUCAUGGACUUUACUAUAUGGUACUGUGUAAAGGUGGGCUUUCCAUUCAGAAAUGUUCUUUAUAAAGGUGGGCUUUCCAUUCAGAAAUGUUCUUUAUAAAGGUGGGCUUUCCAUUCAGAUAUGUGCUUUAUAAAGGUGGUCUUUCCAUUCAGAUAUGUUCUUUAUAAAGGUGGGCUUUCCAUUCAGAUAUGUGCUUUAUAAAGGUGGUCUUUCCAUUCAGAAAUGUUCUUUAUAAAGGUAGGCUUUCCAUUCAGAUAUGUUCUUUAUAAAGGUGUUCUUUCCAUUCAGAAAUGGUCUUUAUAAAGGUAGGCUUUCCAUUCAGAUAUGUGCUUUAUAAAGGUGAUCUUUCCAUUCAGAUAUGUGCUUUAUAAAGGUG
ensembl:lncRNA